AGCUGCCAUCCAUCUAGGGUGCAUUGCCGUUCUUCACGAGCAACCACUGUACGAUUUGAAAACGGCGCAUUUCUCACAUAAGAUGAGCACAACAUCUUUAUACGCGAAGCGUCCAGGUUCCGGUAUUCCUACUUGUUUGCAUCUGUUGCAGGUUCACUUCUUCACAUUUGCUAAUAAUAUUGAAAUGGGAAAAUGGCUGUAUGUUUUUUUAGGCGGAAAUAGUAGCUUGACCUGCCCAAUUACUGUAUCCGUUGAAACAAAAUCGAUUCGGAACGCUCAUUUGUUAAUUAUAAUGGUUUAAAAAUUGAAUUCUCAUGAGGCGGAAAAGAAAACACAGUUAAUGGCUGACAUUUCAUCUGACGUCAUCGAGCGGGUAAUCAAUCAGGAACGUGAGAAAUUAAUGCGUGAAAGGACAAUCAUUUCGACAGUAAAGGCCACAAAAAAAUUGAUUUGCACUGAGCAGGAUUCGAACUUUCUGAUUUACAGGCCACAAAAAAAUUGAUUUGCACUGAGCGGGAUUCGAACCUUGGGCAAUUUGGAUAUUCCGCGGCAUAUAUUCUCUUAUGACUUAAUCUAAAUUUGAA